ensembl:lncRNA
GUAAGCGCUCAGUAUUUGUUAUUUUUAUUAUCAUCCCCUUGUACACUUUUUUUCUCUUUCCGUCUCAUAUACAUGGCACACACACAUGCACACAUACCCGGUGGGCUUCCUGGAGGAGAAGUUCUGCUAGAAAGCCAGGCAGCCAGCUGAGUUCCAGACUAGAGGCAGGCUUAGAUCUCCUCCUCUGGCAGGACAUUUUCCACUGAGGGGAGUGACAGCCUCUUACAGCCUUUCCCACCCUUCUCCAACCACCACACUCACACCAGCCCCAUGCACAGGUCAUGUGCCUGUCCCUCGGCCUGCGUGUGACUCAGUCUGGCAGCUGGACCAGACGGUGGGAGGAGAGUUGGAGGUUAGCACUGCCAGGGGUUGCUUGGAGCAGCUGCCUGACUGCAAAGGUCAAGGUAUUGAGUUUCCACCUUGCGUGGUGCCCUGGGAGGUGUGCAUGAGACCCUGUGGAGACCAGGCUGGGAGCCCCUUGCUCAGCAUCGAGGUCCACGUGUACACUGGACAGUCUGUGAUGCAUUUCCUACCACCCAAGGUCUACAGGGCAGCCGGGGUUGUUUAGAUCAUCCUCAUGAAAUGGGGCUCAUUGAGGCUGAAUGUCUUGCUCUAUGUUACUCGUCUGGUGGAACCGGGAUGCAACCGAGGUUUGCGGAGUUUAAACCCAGCACGCUUGCCAACACGCCACGCGGACCGUCCUCGAAGCUGUAUGCCAAUGUGUGUGUGUGUGUCUACAUAUGGAUACGGUGUACUGAGGUAGGAGGUGACCCAGCCUGGAGCAUGCAGCUCAGCUUUUCUGUCUAAAUCCAUGUCUGAGCAUUAGAAGCAUGUGAUAGAUGGGAAUCCAGCCUUGAUUAAGGGUGGGGCUAUGCUCUUGAUUUCUUGGUAUCUCACGAUGAAAUGAGAGAGUGUGGGCCACCAAGGACGCUUUUCCCUCGCCCGGUUAACUGUUCAGCAGAAAUCUGUGGAGCAUCUAAUCGCGGCACGAACUUCCAGAGAGAGCCAGGCCCUGAACGUCGCCACCCUGGCUCCGUCCCUCUCAGACCCUGCAGUCACGCCUCUAGAAGUAAUUUUCCCCCAAACCUGCUCAGAGCUGCUCUCCUGAAAAAGGAAACAUUUUUCUCCCCUUCCAGGGACAGCCCCAUCCCGCCAGAUUUCUCAGAAGAGUAUUGGGCUCCUGACCCACUCCUCGCCCGCCUGGGUGCAGGCCUGUCCGGCCCCUCUGAGGCCGGCUUCCGCCCAGCAUCCCUCCCCAAGGUCACCAGUGACCCCGCUGCCGAGCCCCAGCAGUCUCUUCUGGUCUUCACCGCAUCAGCUCUGGGGCUUUUGUGGAGGCUCUUGCAGCCCUUGCUUCUGGAAUUUCUUGGUUCCUGUAAAGCUGCUCCUCCGUGGGUCCCCUCCCUCCCGGACCUCGGCUUCUCCUGGUCUCUCCUCCCUCCUCCGCAGAUCUGGUGGUAGAAAUCCUGCCCCUUUGGACAAUUCGCUAAAAUUUGCAGUGUAUGGACCCUCUGACGCAGCCAUUUCCUCCUGGGUUACUGUUGUAGAGAAACACUGUGUCCAAGGGGACAAGCAGGAUGUUCGUGACAGCAGUGCUCCUAAUAAUGGAAAAUCGGAAGCAACCUGAGGGUCCACCCACAGAGGAAUGAAAAAGAAAUCUUGCCUAUUUCUAUCACAGAUUACGUGCAGCAGGGUCAAGAAGGAAAUAGAUCUGUUAGUGGCGACUAGUGGCGACAUGGAAAGACCUGUGACUUACGUUACAGAGGGGAAGAAAGCAAGUUGCAGAGUGAUACCCACGCUAUUCCUG